CGUGUAGGCGGGUCUUUAAGUCAGGGGUGAAAUGCCAGGGCUCAACCUUGGAACCGCCUUUGAUACUGGAGAUCUUGAGUCCGGGAGAGGUGAGUGGAACUGCGAGUGUAGAGGUGAAAUUCGUAGAUAUUCGCAAGAACACCAGUGGCGAAGGCGGCUCACUGGCCCGGAACUGACGCUGAGACGCGAAAGCGUGGGGAGCAAACAGGAUUAGAUACCCUGGUAGUCCACGCUGUAAACGAUGGAUGCUAGCCGUUGGGGAGCUUGCUCUUCAGUGGCGCAGCCAACGCUUUAAGCAUCCCGCCUGGGGAGUACGGUCGCAAGAUUAAA
rnacentral:rRNA from 1 species